CCCUAGCCCUUAUAGCAGUGAAAAUCCCACGCUUUUGGGCGCGGAUUGUAACGCAUAGCAGGACACGAG
rnacentral:misc_RNA from 1 species